UACGGAGGGUGCAAGCGUUAUCCGGAUUUACUGGGUUUAAAGGGUGCGUAGGUGGGUAAGUAAGUCAGUGGUGAAAUCUCCGGGCUUAACUCGGAAACUGCCAUUGAUACUAUUUAUCUUGAAUACUUUGGAGGUAAGCGGAAUAUGUCAUGUAGCGGUGAAAUGCUUAGAUAUGACAUAGAACACCAAUUGCGAAGGCGGCUAUCUGGACGGUUUCUGACGCUAAGACGCGAAAGCGUGGGGAGCAAACAGG
rnacentral:rRNA from 1 species